rnacentral:rRNA from 1 species
UACGAAGGGGGCUAGCGUUGCUCGGAAUCACUGGGCGUAAAGCGCACGUAGGCGGAUUGUUAAGUCAGGGGUGAAAUCCUGGAGCUCAACUCCAGAACUGCCUUUGAUACUGACGGUCUUGAGUUCGGGAGAGGUGAGUGGAACUGCGAGUGUAGAGGUGAAAUUCGUAGAUAUUCGCAAGAACACCAGUGGCGAAGGCGGCUAACUGGUCCGGUACUGACGCUGAGGUGCGAAAGCGUGGGGAGCAAACAGG